AUUGAACGCUGGCGGCAUGCUUUACACAUGCAAGUCGAACGGCAGCGCGGGCUUCGGCCUGGCGGCGAGUGGCGAACGGGUGAGUAAUACAUCGGAACGUGCCCAGUCGUGGGGGAUAGCUCGGCGAAAGCCGGAUUAAUACCGCAUACGACCUGAGGGUGAAAGCGGGGGAUCUUCGGACCUCGCGCUAUUUGAGCGGCCGAUGGCAGAUUAGCUAGUUGGUGGGGUAAAGGCCUACCAAGGCGACGAUCUGUAGCUGGUCUGAGAGGACGACCAGCCACACUGGGACUGAGACACGGCCCAGACUCCUACGGGAGGCAGCAGUGGGGAAUUUUGGACAAUGGGCGAAAGCCUGAUCCAGCAAUGCCGCGUGUGUGAUGAAGGCCUUCGGGUUGUAAAGCACUUUUGGCGGGAACGAAAAGGACUGUGCCAAUACCACGGUUCGAUGACGGUACCCGCAGAAUAAGCACCGGCUAACUACGUG
rnacentral:rRNA from 1 species